rnacentral:rRNA from 1 species
GUGGGGAAUAUUGGACAAUGGGCGAAAGCCUGAUCCAGCCAUGCCGCGUGUGUGAAGAAGGUCUUCGGAUUGUAAAGCACUUUAAGUUGGGAGGAAGGGCAGUAAGUUAAUACCUUGCUGUUUUGACGUUACCGACAGAAUAAGCACCGGCUAACUUCGUGCCAGCAGCCGCGGUAAUACGAAGGGUGCAAGCGUUAAUCGGAAUUACUGGGCGUAAAGCGCGCGUAGGUGGUUUUGUAAGUUGGAGGGGAAAUCCCCGGGCUCAACCUGGGAACUGCCUCCAAAACUGCAUGACUAGAGUACGGUAGAGGGUAGUGGAAUUUCCUGUGUAGCGGUGAAAUGCGUAGAUAUAGGAAGGAACACCAGUGGCGAAGGCGACUACCUGGACUGAUACUGACACUGAGGUGCGAAAGCGUGGGGAGCAAACAGGAUUAGAUACCCGAGUAGUCC